rnacentral:rRNA from 1 species
GGACUUACUCUUCGGAGUGAGAGCGUACACAGGUGCUGCAUGGCUGUCGUCAGCUCGUGUCGUGAGAUGUUGGGUUAAGUCCCGCAACGAGCGCAGCCCUGCAUUCAGUUGCCAUCGGUAAGGCCGGGCACUCUGGAUGGACUGCCGGCGACAAGCCGGAGGAAGGUGGGGACGACGUCAAGUCAUCAUGGCCCUUAUGUCCAGGGCGACACACGUGCUACAAUGGCCGGCACAACGGGAAGCGAAGGGGCGACCCUGAGCGGAUCCCACAAAAGCCGGUCUCAGUUCGGAUUGCAGUCUGCAACUCGACUGCAUGAAGUUGGAAUCGCUAGUAAUCGUGGAUCAGCCAAGCCGCGGUGAAUACGUUCCCGGGCCUU